rnacentral:tRNA from 1 species
GGAUUGUGGCUCGGCGGUAGAAUUCUCGCCUAGUAGGGGGGAGGCCCUGGGUUCGAUCCUCAGCACCA